GCGAAAGUGGCGGAAUUGGUAGACGCGCUGGAUUUAGGAUCCAGUGGGAUUAUUCCUGUGGGGGUUCGAGUCCCCCCUUUCGCACCA
rnacentral:tRNA from 1 species